ACAAACAAACAAACAAAAAUAUGGGAUUAACAAAUAACCAAGACCCUGGGAAAAAGAACAUCAAUAGGUUACACAACACGAUUAGAGGCAAUGGAAAAAAAAUUACAGAAUUUUUGAGUUGGAAGUGACUUCCCAGAUCAUGGUGCCUAACCUCAUGUACCUGAAGAGGACGGAGAGGGUCAGAGAAGUUAAGGUACCCGUCACUGGAAAAGAAAUGUAUCUAUUGACUUCCUCAUUCUACAGCUCCUCACCUCCUGCCUGCCUAAGCUCCAGUUGCAAGGAAGGGAGAUAGAGUGAGAAGAAUAAAAAUAAAGAAGUUGCUCAUCUCUUCAUUUUGCAUGUAAGUGAUGAUUGCCUUUCUUCUCUUAGCAAAUUGGCUAGUAUGGUCUAUGUUCAACAAGUAUUCCAUUUGCUACCUUCUCCCAGACACUAUUCGAAAUAUACACAUACAGUGAUCUUACAAUUAGCCCAUUCUCAUACAGGAAGAAAAUGCAAUCUUCAUGAAAAUCCCCUAACUCCACUUCAGACACUGAAGUUCACCUUUUUGAAGUGUACUGAGCCUGACAGCUAGGCCAGAAUCUUAGGAAAGUACCUCCAUUAGAAGGUUAACCUAGAGAAAGAAAAAGAAGUGCCAGGCUUUGCAGAAGAACAGGGGAACUGUGGCAUUGUGAAGGAUGUGGCUGAGUUCAGAGGGUCAUGAAGGAAUGGGAAAUGCUUUGGAAGAACUUGAGGAUGAGAUCUCCUGAUAAGGUGUGAUUGAAUUUUUUAAAGGAGGACCUUGAAGUUUGCACAGCAUGGUGACGGUGACACCAAAUGAAAAGAGGACUGAGAACAGACUGUAAGCGCCCAGCAUAAUGAGCAUUAACACUUACUGUGAUGGGGAGACUGUUUCCAUGAAUGCCAACUGAGAUCUAGAAGACUGUGUUAGGUUUUUAACAGCCAUAUCCUACAAUGGGAUUAUAUUUGAGUUUGUAACCACCUAAAAUCCUCAGACCUUCUUUUUUUUUCCCAUGAAAAUGACAAUUCAGCCUGCCAAAAAUUCAGAUUGCUAAAUAAGGGAUACCAAUCAGAUGUUUUCUAUCUUCCCUGGAGAAACUAAGGAACUUCAAGUUUAAAAUGCCUCAUGAAGAAUUGGGAUAAAAUAUAAAGAAUUUCCUGAAGAAAGGGAGGAAGAUGAUUGUGUACUGAAUGAUUGCAAUAGAACAUCUGAAAAUGUAAAAUGAAAAGGAUAACUGAACUUUUCUAUGAAGAGCUUGAUUAUGGCCAUACAUUGAAUUAAUGAGCAUUCAGUGAGUCCACAGUUCUUUGUUGAGGGUCUCCUGCAUGCCAUACACUGUGCUACGUCCUGGGGCUCCAUAAAUUCUUUGUUAACAAAAUAAAAAUACCCCCAUACAGAGAAGCACUUUCAGAUACAUUACCUCAUCUCUAACAGAACACACAGUCAACAGAACCAUGCGGAGGCUGAUCAAUAUUCUAAACAAUAGUUUCAUAAAUACUGUCCCUAGACUCGUCUACUCACUGGGAGCUGCAGGGGUUGGUAUUCUAGCUAGCAAAUGAAACAAUCUGCAUACAUGCUUAAAUCAAGUUUGUUUAAAAUUAGAAAAUGGCAUAAUGUAUUCAAAAGUUUUUAUGCAGUAUUUGCAUGGAAUUUAAAAUAUGCUACAUGCUUUGAAUUAGGAGAGCAGAGCGAUGUGUAGCUCAUCUAUUGGUCUGAUCGAAUGUUUAAAAAUCAAAUUUUAGAGAGCUCUGUACUUAAAUAACUGUAAAAGAAAAUAAAAUCAGAAUGCAUAA
rnacentral:lncRNA from 1 species